GGGGGCGAUCCGGUUUCGACGGGGUUAGUUGAUACCAAGGCCGCGGGCCGAGCGACCCAGUGCCUCGUUAAUCCAAGGGAACUAAACAUAAAAGCAGACUCUUACGAGUACGCUCUGGCUGCUUAAGCCAGCGUCCCAGAUGGCACAUGGCCCGUGGAUCAUCUGAGGGCGUGGAAAAAUGGGCUGGUCAAUUGGGGGGGACCCCUGCUCCAGUUGACGAGAUUAUCAGGGAGAUAGUUUAUCGGUAGCUUGUCCGCUAGCGACCGGUCGGCGAAUUUAAACAACGGAAAACGCCCGUAGACGUCUUGGGGGAAGGACUUCGGACGCGGGUUCAAUUCCCGCCGCCUCCACCA
rnacentral:tmRNA from 1 species